UACGUAGGGUGCAAGCGUUGUCCGGAAUUAUUGGGCGUAAAGAGCUCGUAGGCGGUCUGUCGCGUCUGCUGUGAAAACUCAGGGCUUAACCCUGAGCUUGCAGUGGGUACGGGCAGACUAGAGUGCGGUAGGGGAGACUGGAGUUCCUGGUGUAGCGGUGAAAUGCGCAGAUAUCAGGAGGAACACCGGUGGCGAAGGCGGGUCUCUGGGCCGAUACUGACGCUGAGGAGCGAAAGCGUGGGGAGCGAACAGG
rnacentral:rRNA from 1 species